rnacentral:rRNA from 1 species
CCUACGGGUUGCAGCAGUGGGGAAUAUUGGACAAUGGGCGAAAGCCUGAUCCAGCAAAGCCGCGUGUGUGAAGAAGGUCAUCGGAUUGUAAAGCACUUUCGACGGGGACGAUGAUGACGGUACCCGUAGAAGAAGCCCCGGCUGACUCCGUGCCAGCAGCCGCGGUAAGACGGGGGGGGCAAGUGUUCUUCGGAAUGACCGGGCGUAAAGGGCACGUAGGCGGUGAAUCGGGUUGAAAGUGAAAGUCGCCAAAAACUGGCGGAAGACUCUCGAAACCAAUUCACUUGAGUGUGACAGAGGAGAGUGGAAUUUCGUGUGUAGGGGUGAAAUCCGGAGAUCUACGAAGGAACGCCAAAAGCGAAGGCAGCUCUCUGGGUCCUUACCGACGCUGGAGUGCGAAAGCAUGGGGAGCGAACGGGAUUAGAUACCCCUGUAGUC